AUUGAACGCUGGCGGCAGGCCUAACACAUGCAAGUCGAACGGUAACAGGAAGAAGCUUGCUUCUUUGCUGACGAGUGGCGGACGGGUGAGUAAUGUCUGGGAAACUGCCUGAUGGAGGGGGAUAACUACUGGAAACGGUAGCUAAUACCGCAUAACGUCGCAAGACCAAAGAGGGGGACCUUCGGGCCUCUUGCCAUCGGAUGUGCCCAGAUGGGAUUAGCUAGUAGGUGGGGUAACGGCUCACCUAGGCGACGAUCCCUAGCUGGUCUGAGAGGAUGACCAGCCACACUGGAACUGAGACACGGUCCAGACUCCUACGGGAGGCAGCAGUGGGGAAUAUUGCACAAUGGGCGCAAGCCUGAUGCAGCCAUGCCGCGUGUAUGAAGAAGGCCUUCGGGUUGUAAAGUACUUUCAGCGGGGAGGAAGGGAGUAAAGUUAAUACCUUUACUCAUUGACGUUACCCGCAGAAGAAACACCGGCUAACUCCGU
rnacentral:rRNA from 1 species